GAAGCUGGCAAGGCAGCUGGAUUUCACGGUGUUUGGACAAUCUCCGGCGGCCGCCGUUACGGCUGUGACGGAGCAGAGUCAGAAGAUUCAGCCGUUAGUAAUGACGACGUCAGGUACACAAAUCGUACCAGUGAAGCUAACGACGGUGCAAAGGCCACAAUUACAGCCGCAGCAACAUAUGGUGUUGAUGCCGAUGAAACAAACGGCGGUGCCUCCGGCUCAUCCUUCAAUACGACCUCCGAAACCAGAAU
rnacentral:misc_RNA from 1 species